GUCUUCCUGAGGUGCUCGAGUAACCUUGUAUGUUCAACCGACAGAAUGAAUACGGGAGUUCGGAGUUUUGUAUAUUAUGUCACGCCUGCUUGUACAGGAAGACAGAGGAUAUGAACAGGACACCCACCUGCUGUAAGGCGGGUAUGAACAUGCAGGAAAUCGGCAUCAUGGGACUAAA
rnacentral:other from 1 species